CCAAUCUUCUAUAAAACCCUAGACAUCUCACACUUGUCUUCACCAAAAUUGUUGACAAGAGCCCCCCUUCAACAAGCAUCUAAUUGUUUCAUUUAGCAACCAUGCAUUCAAACUCAACCACCAUUAAAACUUCUUCGGACGGAGUUUGGCAAGGUGAUAAUCCUUUAAACUAUGCCUUCCCGUUGUUAAUAGUCCAAACCACCUUAGUCCUCUUUGUUAGUCGCUUCCUUGCCUUUCUCCUCAAACCUCUUCGCCAACCCAAAGUCAUUGCCGAAAUCAUAGUUUUGAAAAUCACAUCUGAUGGAGCGAGAUGUAUAGGAGCGAGAUUCAAGCCAUGGACUUGGGUUUAUUUUGCAUUUUUUAAAUGCUAACCCUUACUUGUUUUGUCAUGUGAUAGGGAUUUGAAACCGGAACUAGGAAUUGUAAUUUAACCAAAGCACCUAUUACAUGUUAACCCGUAAUUGUGAAUUUAUCUCCUAGCUGUCAUAUGUAUAAUAGUUCUAUUUUGCCAAUCUGAGGUUGCUGCUUUGAGUAUGAUACAUGUAAUGGAUAUUGCGCACAAGAAAAGUUAAUUCUGAACUACAUGUGUUGAAUUGGAACAUGAAAAGCUGGUUCUAUCA